rnacentral:rRNA from 1 species
AUUGAACGCUGGCGGCAUGCUUUACACAUGCAAGUCGAACGGUAACAGGCUUCCGGGUUGUGAUGAGUGGCGGACGGGCGAGUAAUGCACAGGAACGUAACCAGAGCUGGGGUUUAAGGCAGCUUAAGGUGUGCUAAGAUCGUAUGUGAUCUGAGCAUGAGAUCGGGGGACCGAGCAGCAAGGUUUGGCCUGGCGCGUUUGAACUGGCGGAUUUCGAGUUUGUUAGUGGGGGGGUGAAGGACCAACCAAGGGGACGAUCGGUAGCUGAUCUGAGAGGACGAUCGGCCACACUGGAGCUGAGACACGGCCCAGACUCCUACGGGAGGCAGCAGUGGGGAAUUUUGGACAAUGGGCGCAAGCCUGAUCCAGCAGGGCCGCGUGCGGGAAGAAGGCGUUCGGGUUGUAAAGCGCUUUUGGCGGGAACGAAACGCUGUCCGCUAAUACCAAGCGUGAGUGACGGUACCUGGAGAAGAAGCACCGGCUAACUACGUG